CAAAAAAAAAAUAUUGAAUCAUUUUAAAUUAAAGCAGUACAGUGUAAAAAUAUUAGUAAAUGCAAAUAAUAAUGCGUACAUUUUGUACAGCUUUAAAAACUAACUAAUCUGUAUCUCAGUUUAUUACCUACUAAAAUGAUUGAUUUCAAUUUAUAUUUCAGAUCAAGAUACCAUAACGCAAUUACUGGAAAGCGUCCCUGACUGUGAUCCAAUGUUUUGUCCAAAUUGUUGUGGUCGUUCUUAUAAAGGAAAAUACCGCAAACACAAUCUCAAACGUCAUAUGAUGUUUUCUUGUGGAGUGCAUGCACAAUUUGAAUGUACAUUUUGCCAAAAAAAAUUUAGGUCAAAUCAAAUAUUAAAGUUAAGUACUUGAAUCAAUCUUUGGAAAAAUAUCGAAUGUUUUGUCCAAAUGGCUGUGGCCGAUCAUAUAUCGGGAAAAACAGCAAAUACAAUCUCAAUAAGCAUUUGAAGUACACGUGUGGUAUUAAUCCACAAUUUUGUUGUACAUUUUGCGGAAAAUAUUUAAGAUCCAAGCAAUCGUUACAGUGUCACAUGUCCAGUGUUCAUCAACAAAUUAUACUUUAGAACAUAUUUUUUUGUAAAAUAAACUUUGUAAUUGUAAUUUAUUA